CACUGGAGGCAAGGAGGGUGAAGUGUCUUGCCCAGGGACACAACGGACUGACUAGGACAAAGCGGGAUUCGAACAGCCAACCCUUCGGUUAGUGGACAACCUGCACAACCACCUGAGCCAUGGUCAUCCCCCCAAUAAAAAAACAUAUCUACG